rnacentral:rRNA from 1 species
GAUGAACGCUGGCGGCGUGCCUAAUACAUGCAAGUCGAGCGAACGGACGAGAAGCUUGCUUCUCUGAUGUUAGCGGCGGACGGGUGAGUAACACGUGGAUAACCUACCUAUAAGACUGGGAUAACUUCGGGAAACCGGAGCUAAUACCGGAUAAUAUUUUGAACCGCAUGGUUCAAAAGUGAAAGACGGUCUUGCUGUCACUUAUAGAUGGAUCCGCGCUGCAUUAGCUAGUUGGUAAGGUAACGGCUUACCAAGGCAACGAUGCAUAGCCGACCUGAGAGGGUGAUCGGGCCCACUGGAACUGAGACACGGUCCAGACUCCUACGGGAGGCAGCAGUAGGGAAUCUUCCGCAAUGGGCGAAAGCCUGACGGAGCAACGCCGCGUGAGUGAUGAAGGUCUUCGGAUCGUAAAACUCUGUUAUUAGGGAAGAACAUAUGUGUAAGUAACUGUGCACAGCUUGACGGUACCUAAUCAGAAAGCCACGGCUAACUACGUG